rnacentral:rRNA from 1 species
CGAACAUUGGGACUGGGGCACGGCCCAAACUCCUACGGGAGGCAGCAUUGGGAAUAUUGGACAAUGGGCGCAAGCCUGAUCCAGCCAUGCCGCGUGAGUAAAAGAAGGCCCUAGGGUUGUAAAGCUCUUUUGUGCGGGAAGAUAAUGACGGUACCGCAAGAAUAAGCCCCGGCUUUUUUUCGUGCCAGCAGCCGCGGUAAUACGAAGGGGGCUAGCGUUGCUCGGAAUUACUGGGCGUAAAGGGUGCGUAGGCGGGUCUUUAAGUCAGGGGUGUUUUGGAGAAAAAACUCCAGAACUGCCUUUGAUACUGAGGAUCUUGAGUUCGGGAGAGGUGAGUGGAACUGCGAGUGUAGAGGUGAAAUUCGUAGAUAUUCGCAAGAACACCAGUGGCGAAGGCGGCUCACUGGCCCGAUACUGACGCUGAGGCACGAAAGCGUGGGGAGCAAACAGGAUUAGAUCCCCCCGUAGUCCACGCCGUAAACGAUGAAUGCCAGCCGUUAGUGGGUUUACUCACUAGUGGCGCAGCUAACGCUUUAAGCAUUCCG